GUGCGUUUGACCUUUAUUGCUGCCGAAGGCAGCACACUAUUCUUGACAUGAAGUAUUGCGUGCCUGCGUUUACUUGUGCCCAGUCUCUUUGGCCGAGUUAUGUAUAGUCGAUCGAGAUUUCGAUUUGAGAAUUUGUGUCUGUCUGUUUGUAAAGAUGUCGUAAUUCCGGGGAAAUAAUUAAGGCUUCACGAAAUUUUUUUAAACGAGGGGGGUGGUCAAAAUUUAUUUUGUAUUGCGCUCGCAUGAUACACUGGCAUGUUGGAUUUUCACAAAUCGACAAUAUUUUGAAUAAUUCAGGUAAGAAU